GACGAACUGUGCAAGCGUUAUUCGGAAUCACUGGGCUUGAAGAGUGCGUAGGCGGUUUUGUAAGUCGGGUGUGAAAGCCCCCGGCCCAACCGGGGAAUUGCGCCCUAAACUGCAAGGCUGGAGUGAGGUAGGGGUGUGUGGAACUUCCAGUGGAGCGGUGAAAUGUGUUGAUAUUGGAAGGAACGCCGGUGGCGAAAGCGACACACUGGACCUUGUCUGACGCUGAGGCACGAAAGCCAGGGGAGCAAACGGG
rnacentral:rRNA from 1 species